rnacentral:rRNA from 1 species
UACGAAGGGGACUAGCGUUGUUCGGAAUCACUGGGCGUAAAGCGCACGUAGGCGGAUUCGUAAGUCAGGGGUGAAAUCCCGGGGCUCAACCUCGGAACUGCCUUUGAUACUGCGGGUCUUGAGUCCGAUAGAGGUGGGUGGAAUUCCUAGUGUAGAGGUGAAAUUCGUAGAUAUUAGGAAGAACACCGGUGGCGAAGGCGGCCCACUGGAUCGGUACUGACGCUAAGGUGCGAAAGCGUGGGGAGCAAACAGG